UGGGGAAUAUUGCACAAUGGGGGAAACCCUGAUGCAGCGACGCCGCGUGAAGGAAGAAGUAUUUCGGUAUGUAAACUUCUAUCAGCAGGGAAGAACAUGACGGUACCUGACUAAGAAGCCCCGGCUAACUACGUGCCAGCAGCCGCGGUAAUACGUAGGGGGCAAGCGUUAUCCGGAUUUACUGGGUGUAAAGGGAGCGUAGACGGAGCGGCAAGUCUGGAGUGAAAACCCGGGGCUUAACCCUGGGACUGCUUUGGAAACUGUCGUUCUUGAGUGCCGGAGGGGUAAGCGGAAUUCCUAGUGUAGCGGUGAAAUGCGUAGAUAUUAGGAGGAACACCAGUGGCGAAGGCGGCUUACUGGACGGCAACUGACGUUGAGGCUCGAAAGCGUGGGGAGCAAACA
rnacentral:rRNA from 1 species